rnacentral:misc_RNA from 1 species
GUGAGUCAUCGAAUCUUUGAACGCACAUGGCACCCUCUGGUAUUCCGGGGGGUACGCCUGUCCGAGCGUCAUUUCAAACCUCAGGCCUAGGCUUGCUGUUGGACGUGGUCCCUCGGGACCUGUCUCUAACCGGUCGACGGCACCGUCCGGUCCCAGGCGUAGCAAUGUGACCGCCUAGGGGCUCCGGGUGGCUGUCUGUCCAUCCAACCCAACCUAGAAGUUUGACCUCGGAUCAGGCGGGGAUACCCGCUGAACUUAAGCAUAUCAAUAAGCGGAGGA